AGCUCGAUAGCGCAACGGUAGCGCGUCUGUUCCCAAUAGAUCCAGGUCAAAUAUCGGUUGACAGAAAGGUCUCGGUUCAACUCCGAGUCGAGCUA
rfam:Stereum hirsutum FP-91666 SS1 unplaced genomic scaffold STEHIscaffold_24, whole genome shotgun sequence.